UUGAGGUUUCUAUUUUCUGCUUCGAUCACCGCGCAACUGAGGCUACGCUUCCGCCACUGAUUCACCGCACAUCAACGAGGUUUCUCUUUUUAUCACCGCCAUCAACAACACAUUCACGCUCUGUUUCUUGCGAUCCCCAAAGAGAAAAAAAAGUAGCAAAUUUUAAAUCACAUAAAUGGAGCCACCACAACAUUAUA